rnacentral:misc_RNA from 1 species
UUUAUUUUGAUAUAAUUUAUGUAUAAUAAACAACAAGGCAUAUAAAUAAGCAUAAUAUGAAGGAAAAGGGAGAUCAAGACGGGAAGGAAUAAGAGUAAAGAGGUAAAAGGACAUCUCUUCUUGUAUACUGAUCUCUCCUUCAAGUCCUCUUCAAGAAUUUACUGUAUGCUGUUUGAAUUGGCCUUUUAGUAAAUUAAAAUGAGUUGUGCUAUGAUAG